rnacentral:rRNA from 1 species
CCCUUAGAUGUUCUGGGCCGCACGCGUGCUACACUGACGCAUUCAACGAGUCUAAAACCUGGUCUGAUAGGGCUGGGUAAUCUUUUGAAAGUGCAUCGUGAUUGGGAUAGAUGAUUGCAAUUCUUCAUCUUCAACGAGGAAUGCCUAGUAAACGCAAGUCAUCAGCUUGCAUUGAUUACGUCCCUGCCCUUUGUACACACCGCCCGUCGCUCCUACCGAUUGAAUGAUCCGAUGAAUACCAUGGAUUGAGAGUACGAAUAGGUUCGCUUAUUUCUGCUGCUCGAGAAGUGGAGUAAAUCUUAUCAUUUAGAGGAAGGAGAAGUCGUAACA